rnacentral:rRNA from 1 species
UACGAAGGGUGCAAGCGUUAAUCGGAAUUACUGGGCGUAAAGCGUGCGUAGAUGGUUUGUUAAGUCGGAUGUGAAAGCCCCGGGCUCAACCUGGGAACUGCAUCUGAUACUGGCAGACUAGAGUGUGGUAGAGGAUGGCGGAAUUCCCGGUGUAGCGGUGAAAUGCGUAGAGAUCGGGAGGAACAUCCGUGGCGAAGGCGACCAUCUGGACCAACACUGACGUUGAGGCACGAAAGCGUGGGGAGCAAACAGG